AAAAAGUGCAGUUUUGCACUAUUCACGUUCAACGUUUGACCGUCCGUCUUAUUUGAAAAAUUUGUGAAAAAAUUAAAAACAUUUAGUCACACAUAAAGUACUAUUCAUGUUUUAUCAUCUAAUAGCAAUAAAAAUACUAAUCAUAAAAAAUUUUCAAAUAAGACGGACGGUCAAACGUUGAACGUAAAUAGUGCAAAACUACACUUAUU
rnacentral:pre_miRNA from 1 species